rnacentral:rRNA from 1 species
UAAUUGAAGAGUUUGAUCAUGGCUCAGAUUGAACGCUGGCGGCAGGCCUAACACAUGCAAGUCGAGCGGUAACAGAAAGUAGCUUGCUACUUUGCUGACGAGCGGCGGACGGGUGAGUAAUGCUUGGGAACAUGCCUUGAGGUGGGGGACAACAGUUGGAAACGACUGCUAAUACCGCAUAAUGUCUACGGACCAAAGGGGGCUUCGGCUCUCGCCUUUAGAUUGGCCCAAGUGGGAUUAGCUAGUUGGUGAGGUAAUGGCUCACCAAGGCAACGAUCCCUAGCUGGUUUGAGAGGAUGAUCAGCCACACUGG